rnacentral:rRNA from 1 species
UACGUAGGGUGCGAGCGUUGUCCGGAAUUACUGGGCGUAAAGGGUGCGUAGGCGGUUCGUUAAGUCUGUCGUGAAAUCCCCGGGCUCAACCUGGGAAUGGCGAUGGAUACUGGCGAGCUAGAGUGUGUCAGAGGAUGGUGGAAUUCCCGGUGUAGCGGUGAAAUGCGUAGAGAUCGGGAGGAACAUCAGUGGCGAAGGCGGCCAUCUGGGACAACACUGACGCUGAAGCACGAAAGCGUGGGGAGCAAACAGG